rnacentral:rRNA from 1 species
CGGGGUGAGUAAUGUCUGGGAAACUGCCUGAUGGAGGGGGGUAGCUACUGGAAACGGUAGCUAAUACCGCAUAACGUCGCAAGACCAAAGAGGGGGACCUUCGGGCCUCUUGCCAUCGGAUGUGCCCAGAUGGGAUUAGCUAGUAGGUGGGGUAACGGCUCACCUAGGCGACGAUCCCUAGCUGGUCUGAGAGGAUGACCAGCCACACUGGAACUGAGACACGGUCCAG